GAAACUGCGUGUGUCCCUUGAAACGUUUCACUCUGGUCUGAAAAGGGUCCAUCAUUUUGUCCCGGCUGUUGUUAUUUAUCCAUAAAGCGUUUGCUCUUCAUACGGAGGUCAGAGUUCAGAGGAAGAACCAUUGAGGAACCGAGGUCACGCCCACAACGAAAGAUCAAACGAAGGAAUCGACCAAUCGCAUUGUGUCAAACUGAUACUCGGCUCCUCCCACUUCCACGCUAGCUUUCACGAUGUCGGACAUUGUGUCUCGGUGGGCGUCAUUCAUGUGAGUGGGAUCCACCGAUGGGCUGUGAACGGGUGAAUGAUGACAUGGUGUCUAAAAGCUUCACAAGGAAAUUAACAUUAACUGGGAAACAAAUCCACUAAAUUCAGACGAUGAUCGGAUCGGAUUGAUCGGAUCGAUCGGAUCCCGGUCCUCUGCCUGCGUUAAUCUAUCACAACCUCAGCAGAAACGUUGCGACUUUUCAAAAUUUGCAUCGCUGCCAAAGCGAAUGGUUUAGAUGAGAGAAUAAGAAACAGCAAACACAAGCAGGAGAUUAAGAAAUACUACUUUUAAUGAACCUUUUGGGGUUUUUGAACAAUGUGGGACAGAGAAAAAUAAAAAUGAAAUUAAAAAAAAUCUCUGGAACACAAAGCGGCUGAAGGCCUGUUUAGGUAUAUUUGGGUCUUUAUUAUGCAACAAAUGGUUUUAGAGCAAAUGUUUAUACAUUUUCUUACAAACCUGAUUUGUUUGCAAUGCAAGAAAUUCUCUCAAAACAGUUUUUUAGACAAUUAUACCUUAAAACCCGGCGUGUAAUUAUGUUGUGCACACGUUGUUCUGUUUCAUUUGCUGAAACGUGGAUCCGUUUCUCUGCUGCCCGCAGAUGUUUAACACGGUUCAGUUCCCCUGAACAGGGAACUAAACCACAAUCACGCCUCUUUCCUUCGACUCAAACGUUGGAUUGUUUUAUGAACUCUGAAAUUUAAAAAAAAGCCCAAGAAUGUCCUGUGGUGGAGGUGGAGGAGCAGAAGGAACCCCGCUGCGUGUGGACACGUCGAUAAGAAAGAACACAAUAAACCCGUUAAACCUUUGGUCAACUAACAUCUUGAUUUCUACCAACAUCCAGCAGCCUCAGUUAAUGAUCUCCGGACGCAGAAACGCCUCCGUUGAACUUCAGAGAAGCUUCAACGUGGAACAGCCGGAAGACUUUAAACGAUAAGAGCGACACUGAUAAACUGACAGGAUUUAAAGCGACAAGUGGGAGUCACAUCUGUCAAUCAUUCUGCCACAUCACCAGCGCGCCUCCAACGAGCCGCGGAACCGAGGAUCGAUCCGACAGCAGAUCGCACGAGCCCGCAGCCUCGUGCUCUCACACACACACACACACACACACACACACGGAACCGCCGCGUAACAGGUCGCACAGGUCGGUCAACUCACGUGGUUUCUCUGCGUGGCGCUGCGGAGAGGAGUGCGCGUCCCGUGCGUGUCCGACUGAGAGACCUGCGGCUCAGCGCGACGAAGCCGAGUGAGGAGGGAGGAGUGAGGAGGCAGGAGGGAGGAGGCAGGAGGCUCCUCUCGUCCUCCCCGUGCGGCGGCGCGUCACAACGACUCUAACCCCGCCCCCCUCUGCCCGGCCCCGCCCCCCGCGCGGAUCAUAACGAGGCGAUUCUACAUCACAACACGUACUUCAGCGGGUCACGUGUGUGCUUCAUGCUGGACAACAUGACAAAUUCAGUGUGAAAAUUGGGAAUAAAUCAGCAUGGUUUGUGUCCGUUAAUCCACCCACAGCUUUAGUGAUUAAAUGAUUUAUUUUAUUGUAUUAUAUCUGCAAUUUGGGUGAAAUCUAUUGGACUAGAUUCCUCACAUGUCAAAUAUUUAAAUUAUCCUUUAUCAAAUGGCUAUGAAGAAUUUAAUUAAAAAUAAACUUUGUCAUAGCCAUACAAUUUGGAAAUAAACCAA